rnacentral:lncRNA from 1 species
ACUGAAGUAGGUCAGAUUCUGAGUGUGUGUGUGGGGGUGUGGUAGUUGAUAGUAGGAACAAGAAAUUGAAGGCAAGUGAGAAACUUGAAGCCUUAGAUUGAAAUUGAAUUGUUACUCCCAUUCCAAUGACACGGUCUCUAAUUCACAUGUAUUUUCAGUGUUUCCACAGGACGUAUCCCAGAUGAUUGAGUCGGGGGAAAGUCUACAAAAGUUUGGAUGUUGAUUAUUUCCUAAUAUCCCAGAAAUGAGAGGAAAGCCUAAACAUGAUCUAGGAUUAAGAGUCACCAGCCAACAAACAGGCAUUAAAUUCACCAUCCUAAGGAAAUUAUUCAUACUCAAAACAUAACAGCCAAAAGUCAUGCACUUGAAGACUUCUGUCUCUACUCCUCUAUUCUACGGAUAAAGUGAAACCAUAACUUUCAGGAAAAGAAAACAUGAGCCUGACAAGAUCUUCCUGGCUGUUGACCUGCGCAGCUGGAGAAAUCACUAUUGCAGCACAGCUGGACCUGUGGGUUGUGAGAGCUGUGGCUUCGACUUUUACAGAAAAGAUUCUGCUGAAGAGAAUGAGAAGGAAGAGCAUACAUGGCCAAGAACCUGCAGGGUAUAAAAGACCCCAGCACCCAGAUGGAAAGGUGGAGCCCACCCUCUCCCAAAAUACUUCAUUUCUCCAAAAAACCUUAUGAUGACACUCUUAAGAAAGAAUACAUGAAUUCCAAAGUUCGACUGUGAGUUUCUCUACAGGAUGCUGGAUAACAGAGAGCAUUUAAGCAAGUACUCUGUAUGAGAUAAAAUGUAUGCUAUAGUGGGCUAACUACUGGGUAUUUUCAUUGCUAUAUUAGCUGGAUAAAGG